rfam:Gossypium arboreum cultivar AKA8401 contig_159_9, whole genome shotgun sequence.
AACCCAUGGUGAGGGUACCUUCUCAAUAAAUCCUUAUACCUCUACCAUGCAUCAUGUAAAGUAUCUAAAUCCAUUUGCACGAAGGAAGAGAUAUCAUUCCUCAAGUU